AUUACUAGGUUGAAUGUCUUUAAAAUUAAAAGCAUGUUUAUCAUAUUGAGUCUCUUAAACUCAUAAUGAUAAAUAUGAAUGAUUUUCUAAAAGAAAACGAUAAUUGUACUUAUGUGAAUAUAAUUAGGAUUUAUGAAUGAUGAUGUUAAUAUCCUAUGUAUGUGCAUAUAUUUGUUGCAGAUGAUGAGUUAAGAGUUGAGAGACUGUACAAAAGGGGACUGUGAGUAUUUCUUACUCACUGAGGAUGAUACGUGUGGUUUAGUCUUUAAUGACUGCAUGAGAUUGUGGUGUUAACCACAAUCACAUGCGAGUUUUGCAGGAACGAAGAUAGGAGCUGCUAGGUUGAUUAAGGACGAGACCUUUAGUUUGUAAAUUUUAUAUACAAUGAUUCCGUAAUGUUCGUACCGCAUGUGGUACGCUUAUUGUUAUUUAAAUGUAUGUUAUUAUAUCAGAUCAAAUAGUUAUUAUUUUA